rnacentral:rRNA from 1 species
CUCGGGUGAUCCUGCCGGACCCGACUGCUAUCAGAGUGGGACUAAGCCAUGCGAGUCAACAUAGCAAUAUGUGGCAUACGGCUCAGUAACACGUAGUCAACAUGCCCAGGGGACGUGGAUAACCUCGGGAAACUGAGGAUAAACCGCGAUAAGUCACUACUUCUGGAAUGGGUAAUGACUCAAAUCUACAUGGCCCCUGGAUUGGACUGCGGCCGAUCAGGCUGUUGGUGAGGUAAUGGCCCACCAAACCUGUAACCGGUACGGGCUCUGAGAGGAGGAGCCCGGAGAUGGGCACUGAGACAAGGGCCCAGGCCCUAUGGGGCGCAGCAGGCGCGAAACCUCUGCAAUAGGCGAAAGCCUGACAGGGUUACUCUGAGUGAUUUCCGUUAAGGAGAUCUUUUGGCACCUCUAAAAAUGGUGCAGAAUAAGGGGUGGGCAAGUCUGGUGUCAGCCGCCGCGGUAAUACCAGCACCCCGAGUGGUCGGGACGUUUAUUGGGCCUAAAGCAUCCGUAGCCGGUUCUACAAGUCUUCCGUUAAAUCCACCUGCUUAACAGAUGGGCUGCGGAAGAUACUAUAGAGCUAGGAGGCGGGAGAGGCAAGCGGUACUCGAUGGGUAGGGGUAAAAUCCGUUGAUCCAUUGAAGACCACCAGUGGCGAAGGCGGCUUGCCAGAACGCGCUCGACGGUGAGGGAUGAAAGCUGGGGGAGCAAACCGGAUUAGAUACCCGGGUAGUCCCAGCUGUAAACGAUGCAGACUCGGUGAUGAGUUGGCUUCUUGCCAACUCAGUGCCGCAGGGAAGCCGUUAAGUUUGCCGCCUGGGGAGUACGGUCGCAAGACUGAAACUUAAAGGAAUUGGGCGGGGGAGCA